rnacentral:lncRNA from 1 species
CCAGUUAUCUAACCUCAGACUGGGUGAAUGAUCACAGAGGUGCGUCUGACAAGGACAAGGAAUCUGACUGUAGACCUGCUGAAAGCCGGCCCUGCUACCACCUCCAAGCAUGAAGAAACACUGUGCUCCACCGGCUUGGUCAGCCAGAACAUGACAACGUGAUCUACAUGAGUGGAGGUGGUGACGGCUCCUCGGAAAGUCCGCCCUGGCAACGCGAUGGCCUGAAAAACACACCGG